AGAUGAGGUAGUCAUUGUGUGUGUGGGGUACUGAGAUGAGGUAGUCAUUGUGUGUGUGGGGUACAGAGAUGAGGUAGUCAUUGUGUGUGUGGGGUACAGAGAUGAGGUAGUCAUUGUGUGUGUGGGGUACUGAGAUGAGGUAGUCAUUGUAUGUGUGGGGUACAGAGAUGAGGUAGUCAUUGUGUGUGUGGGGUACAGAGAUGAGGUAGUCAUUGUGUGUGUGGGGUACAGAGAUGAGGUAGUCAUUGUGUGUGUGGGGUACAGAGAUGAGGUAGUCAUUGUGUGUGUGGGGUACAGAGAUGAGGUAGUCAUUGUGUGUGUGUGGGGUACAGAGAUGAGGUAGUCAUUGUAUGUGUGGGGUACAGAGAUGAGGUAGUCAUUGUGUGUGUGGGGUACAGAGAUGAGGUAGUCAUUGUGUGUGUGGGGUACAGAGAUGAGGUAGUCAUUGUGUGUGUGGGGUACAGAGAUGAGGUAGUCAUUGUAUGUGUGGGGUACAGAGAUGAGGUAGUCAUUGUAUGUGUGGGGUACAGAGAUGAGGU